rnacentral:rRNA from 1 species
UGAGGAAUAUUGGGCAAUGCCCGCAAGGGUGACCCAGCAACGCCGCGUGGAGGAUGAAUGUCGUAAGAUUGUAAACUCCUGUUAGAGGGGAAGAAUAGUACCGGUUGGACCGGUAUAUGACUGUACCCUCAGAGAAAGCCCCGGCUAACUACGUGCCAGCAGCCGCGGUAAUACGUAGGGGGCAAGCGUUGUCCGGAUUUACUGGGUGUAAAGGGCGCGCAGGCGGGAUAAAAAGUCAGUGGUGAAAUCCUACAGCUUAACUGCAGAACUGCCUUUGAUACUUUUAUUCUUGAGUUCGGGAGAGAGAGACGGAAUUCCAGGUGUAGUGGUGAAAUACGUAGAUAUCUGGAAGAACACCAGUUGCGAAGGCGGUCUCUUGGUCCGACACUGACGCUGAGGCGCGAAAGCGUGGGGAGCAAACA